ensembl:lncRNA
CAUUAUCUUAAUACAUUGAUAAUUUUUUUUUUUUUUUGUAUAGAACAUUUUAGGAACAAAGUACUUAUUCUUCCUGGAUCUCAUUUUCCAGAAUGACGCACUGCAUUAGCGAGUCCUGAAGAUCCUUUCCAGCUCUUUGAUUAUUUGACAUUCUGACUGGCACAAAGAGGCACACCUGCAAUCCUACUGAGCGUUCCAUGGAUCAUUAAUGAUUUUUCAUAGUGAAGGAAGCAGAGGAUUUUUCUCCUUGUACACAACUUUAAGAUUGACUUGCUCAUUCAUUGCGGUGAGUAGUAAGACACAAACCUUCAAUCUCCAUAUGCCUCAAGUAAGUCUUAAAAGCAAAAUAUGUUCUGCAUAAAGGUGGAAGAAUAAUGAUUUAGAAUCUGUGAAGUACAGAAAUAGGAUAAUGUUGAACCUGCUCCUCUUCUAGGCCUGUGGUACUUUGGGUACUGGAAUUAGGCAGUUACUACCAAGGAUUGCUGCAAAAGAAGCAGUGAUGUUGGGUGAAUAAAUAUUUUGGUACAGAAAUGCCAACAAUAGGUGGUUCAUCUCAAAUAAAACCAAUAGAUCACCUGCCCAACUUUGUUAGCUUGCUAGGAAGUUAGUUAUAAUUACAAUUAGAGUCUAAGACAUAUUUUCUAGUCAUUAACAUAUUCCAUACAAUCUUGAUAGCAUUAUUCCAAAAACCAAGAUCAUGUCAUUAAUUUAAACCUAUUCCAUGCAGUGACUAUUCAGAGAAAGUAAAUAGUAUCUUCUCUUAAUAGAUGUAUGCUCUUUUGUACCAUAGAUUAUCUUUACAGUAGUAACUUGGCACUAAUUUGACUUUCAAAAUUGAACUGCUGCUGAUAAAUCUCUUAAAAAGUCUUUUUUAUAUGUAGUAAAAUGUUUAAGAAACAUUUAAAAAGUUAGAACAAAAGGAUAAAAUGAGAAACAGAAUAUGAAAUAAAUUAGCAUAAGACCUUGGUAUUAUACCAAGGUCAGGAAGACAGUUCAGUAAAAUUCAAAUUAUUAUUGUAUUGCUGUUCUUUACUUUGGGAAAGGUGUAUGUGUAUGUAAGAAGUUGCACAUAUAGUGCCAAACAAAUGUCUUCAAAUUUAAGAACGAUGCCCAUGAAAGGAAAAUCAACCUAACAAGAAGGAAAGAAAUAUUAGUAUUUAUAACACAAGAAACCUUAAAAGGAAGGGGUUAUGAUCUUGUAUAAGAGUAUACAUAUAUAAGUAGAUAGAUACACAUAUUAUAAAUAUAUUGACAUAUGAACAUACUUAACUACAACAUAGCUGAUAUUCUAAAAAUAAAAUAUCGAAUUGUGAUUUUGCGUAUGUUUCUUUUCAGUAAACAAAGGGUAUUAAAGGAAAUAUAAAAAUUAAUGCAAUGGAAAAAAUAUAUUUACCUGUGAUAGUACUAAAAUUUGUUACUGGAUAUUUCAAUUAAACUUAAAAAUGUAAAAAGACAAAACAAGGAAGCAACAAAGAGAUUUGCAGCACAGCAAAAAAUGGCCACCAAGAGAUCACAUUUGUCUUCUCUGCACCUGGCUUGGUCUGACAGUACUUCAAAAUUGUACUGGGGAUUCUGGCACCAUUUUUAUAAAGGUAAAGGUUGGGUAACUUGACAUCCAAAAGAAAGUUAAUAUAAUAAUUGGUUUUACAUGUGACUAUAUCCUCAGUUUCAUCAUAUUUACUAAAGGAGAAAGAAAAACCUGACUUAUAAAUGUGGCUCCCCUUAUUUAAAAUUACUUAGCCUGUGGAAUAAAUAAAUUGUGGUGGACAGAAUCUAAGGUUGCAUUCAUGGUCCCUGACUCCUGGUGUUCAUGUCCUUACUCUCUCCCCUAGAGCAUGAGUGGGAAAUAUGACUUGCUUCUAAGCUCUAGCAUAUGCAAAGGGGAUGAGAUAUAUGUGACUGUGCAUACGUGGUUACAUGAUUACAUGACAUAAGAUGAAGUGCCGUCUUGCUGGAGU